rnacentral:rRNA from 1 species
ACUCAAAGGAAUUGACGGGGACCCACACAAGCAGUGGAUCAUGUGGUUUAAUUCGACACUAAACGGGGAACCUCACCAGGGCUUGACAUCCCCGGAACCCCCCGGAAACGGGGGGGUGCCCGCGAGGGAAUCGGGAGACAGGUGCUGCAUGGUUGUCGUCAGCUCGUGCCUUGAGGUGUUCGGUUAAGUCCGUUAACGAGCGCAACCCGUGCCGCCAGUUACUAUGUCUGGCGGGACUGCCCGGGUUAACCGGGAGGAAGGUGCGGACGACGUCAAAUCAGCAUGGCCCUUAUGCCCUGGGCCACACACAUGAUACAAUGGUCGGUACAGAGGGCAGCGAUGGCGCGAGCCGGAGCCAAUCCCAGAAAGCCGAUCCCAGUCCGGAUCGGGGUCUGCAACUCGACCCCGUGAAGUUGGAAUUGCUAGUAAUCGCGAAUCAGACAUGUCGCGGUGAAUAUGUUCCUGGGUCUUGUACACACCGCCCGU